UCAUGCCAUAAACUGUUCAAGGCAGUCUGGCUCCAACAGGCCAUAAACAACACAAUGUCUACAAUGAGCACACCAAGGUGGAAAUGAAAGCUGUCUACCUGUGUCUUCUUAAUCCUUUAAACCCCAAGAACACGGAACCACUGACUGGUAUAAACAGCUCAUAAAAGACUCCGAGAGGGUGGGGAAGUGAAGAUACUCUGGUUAAAUCAAGUUUUGGAGAGCCUCAGGCUGCAGACGGGAGUUCGGAUCCCAGCACCAGCAGAGGGUGCCUCAUAAAGACAGGGAACUCCAGCUCUCGGGGAUCUGAUGCCUUCUUGUGACCUCUGUGCACCUAUGUGUACACACACACACAAACGUGGCUUGGAGGGUGUUCCAGAAUUAAGACUAUAUAUUCUUCUGUCAGAGUGCUCGUUUGCGUCCCAACGCCCACAUCGGACGACUCAACAACUGCCUGUAACUCUAACUCUAAGGAAUCUGGCCAUUACAAGCUCUUGCACUUAUGUGUACAUACCCCCACCCCUGCCACACAAACACACAAUUAAAAAUAAACCCUUCAAAAUUA